AUCCAGCCAUGCCGCGUGUGUGAAGAAGGCCUUUUGGUUGUAAAGCACUUUAAGCGAGGAGGAGGAGCUCUUGGUUAAUACCCAAGAUGCUUGGACGUUACUCGCAGAAUAAGCACCGGCUAACUCUGUGCCAGCAGCCGCGGUAAUACAGAGGGUGCAAGCGUUAAUCGGAUUUACUGGGCGUAAAGCGCGCGUAGGUGGCCAAUUAAGUCAAAUGUGAAAUCCCCGAGCUUAACUUGGGAAUUGCAUUCGAUACUGGUUGGCUAGAGUAUGGGAGAGGAUGGUAGAAUUCCAGGUGUAGCGGUGAAAUGCGUAGAGAUCUGGAGGAAUACCGAUGGCGAAGGCAGCCAUCUGGCCUAAUACUGACACUGAGGUGCGAAAGCAUGGGGAGCAAACAGGAUUAGAUACCCUGGUAGUCCAUGCCGUAAACGAUGUCUACUAGCCGUUGGGGCCUUUGAGGCUUUAGUGGCGCAGCUAACGCGAUAAGUAGACCGCCUGGGGAGUACGGUCGCAAGACUAAAACUCAAAUGAAUUGACGGGGGCCCGCACAAGCGGUGGAGCAUGUGGUUUAAUUCGAUGCAACGCGA
rnacentral:rRNA from 1 species